GACGAACGCUGGCGGCGUGCUUAACACAUGCAAGUCGAGCGGAAAGGCUCCUUCGGGGGUACUCGAGCGGCGAACGGGUGAGUAACACGUGAGUAAUCUGCCCUUGGCUUUGGGGAUAAGCCCCGGAAACGGGGUCUAAUACCGGAUAUGACCGGCCACUGCAUGGUGGUUGGUGGAAAGUUUUUUCGGCCAGGGAUGUGCUCGCGGCCUAUCAGCUUGUUGGUGGGUAAUGGCCUACCAAGGCUUCGACGGGUAGCCGGCCUGAGAGGGUGACCGGCCACACUGGGACUGAGACACGGCCCAGACUCCUACGGGAGGCAGCAGUGGGGAAUAUUGGACAAUGGGCGCAAGCCUGAUCCAGCCACGCCGCGUGAGUGAUGAAGGCC
rnacentral:rRNA from 1 species